UACGAAGGGGGCUAGCGUUGUUCGGAGUUACUGGGCGUAAAGCGCACGUAGGCGGAUAUUUAAGUCAGGGGUGAAAUCCCAGAGCUCAACUCUGGAACUGCCUUUGAUACUGGGUAUCUUGAGUAUGGAAGAGGUAAGUGGAAUUGCGAGUGUAGAGGUGAAAUUCGUAGAUAUUCGCAGGAACACCAGUGGCGAAGGCGGCUUACUGGUCCGGUACUGACGCUGAGGUGCG
rnacentral:rRNA from 1 species